CAAUUUCGGUGGCGUUGUUCUACGUACGAUGUCGGUCAUCACGUCCGGGAAAAUCUACCGCCACAGCGCCGGUACAACCAGUGGCACGCGGAAUAUAGGAUAUACGCAGCUUACAUUACGUUGUUGAGGAGAAUUCUAAGGAAAUUAAUCAAAUAUACUAAAGUAAUUAGAAAAUAUUAGCAGAUCUUCAAAAUAAGGAGCCAUGCAUAAUUUUCAAUGGCGCCGAAUGUGUACCUGCGCAUGAGGCCGGCCGUACUUAACCAACGAAUGUAUUUCGAUGCUGUCAAACUACGUGUUUGACAGAAUACGUAAGAGGGUAAUAAAAGAAGGGUGUUCGAUAUAAUGAGUGAUUAUAAUAUUCCAAUUAUUGAGCCUACUAUUGAUUAUACACAGGUUCCUGCUAUACAUCAGAAGAGAACUAUUGCCUUUAUUAAUCAUUUUAUCGUACACACUGUCACGUUUUUGAAUAAAUUUGCACUAUCAUGUGAAGAAAGAUUGUUCAACUUUGAGAAUAAACUGCAGAGAGUAGAGGCUUCGCUGCAACUUCUUGAGUCGAGGCUGUCCUCUAUACCAGGCCUAAAAGAAACACCAGAUCAUCAGGAAGAUGUUAGGGUACAAAAUGAAGAGGUGAAGAAUGUAGAGAUUUCGGAGCAAACAGUAGACGAACCUGAUACCAAUGAAAUUAAAGUUGAGGAACCAGAGAGUGACAAACAACCUAUCAAGGAAGAUCCUGUAUAUGGAAAAUAUUUUAAAAUGCUGCACGUAGGAGUUCCUAGGCCAGCAGUCAAUUUGAAGAUGCAACAGGAAGGACUAGAUCCAUCGCUUUUAGAUGACCCACAACUGUUGGUUCCAAAAGCAAAACCUGAUGCACUAGGUGAAAGUGCAAAAGAUGACUGAUUACUUUAUUGGUAACCAUGUACAUCAGGGAAAAAAUAAGUGCAAUGUAUGUAUUUUUGCAUUAUACAAGAUAAUAAAAGGCUCAUAGAAAAUAUGAAAAUGCCUACCAUCUUCGAUGUUGGGAGAAAAGGGAAGUGAACGUCUGAAUCGGAAGUUGACGUCCAUGCAGCAGUGGGCGCAUGCGCGUUGUACCAAAGUGACGUAAAAUUUCAGAAAAGUUUACACUUUUUCACCGUUUCCUCUGUUCCUCCCAGAGUUGACGCAAUACUGAAUGUCAAAGUAUAAACAAUAUUAACGUCCCACGCAGAUCUAAAAUAUAUAUUAGUAAUAUAUUUCCAUGAAAAUAUUCCCUCGUUUACUCGCGUGAAACGCCACCAGCAAUCUUUAACGUAUACGCCGUGAAACAGGUACUGAUAAAAAUUCAUAAGAAAUAAGAAUCAUAAUACAUAAAUUACAUCGUUAUCACUUUUACAAGAUCCUAAGAACAUUGACUUUACUAAUAUUGUUAAUAUAUGAGCAUUUCCGUAAAAAGAAUCUAUUAAAAAUUCUUCAAGCCUACUAUGACACGCUUGUCCAAUGUAUCGAAUCAUUAAAUAUACAAGAAAACUCAUAGACGUAUGACAAGAUAACGUGGUUGAAAUAUCAUUGUCAUUACUAAUUGAUUCCAAAGAAAAAAAAAGGAAAUUCUGUCAUUGGCGUCGUGAUAGUCCUCGUUCAAGUUGAAGGUAGUCAUUAAAAUUAGUCACAAUACUGACUGAUACACGACAGAAGUCGAUGUCCAAGAACGAAAGAUAAUAUUCUAGAAAAUUCCGAAGCAUUGCAAAGAGAUUAUUUUAAUAAUAUACGAUAAGCGGAAAAACGAUGAUGAUGACUGUUACGAAGAAAACAUACCUAAUAUGUAACGCUUGUGAAAAUCAUGCGAAACAGUCAAAUUUUUCUGGUGAUAAUCAUGUAUAUACAUAUAUGUACAAAGUAUCGUAUAUUGAUAGGGCAUACAUGAAUAUGGUAAGAUAAAUAAAGAAUACGAUACAAUACGAUUAAAUCAAUAUAACAAAAAAAAUACUAGCUCCAGAUAUCUAAAGGAAAAGUAUUUCGAGCGGGAUAUUUAUCGAUUUUUCCAGGUACAGGGCGUCCAAAAGCGCGUGGACGGAUCGCAGCGCCAGAGCUUAUUUGAAUCGAGCGACGUAGCCUCGAAGCAGACAUGCUUCAUGCUCCACGUACUCUCAAACCCCUCGUCUUUAAACAAAAUGAAUUUUAUUCAUAUAGAAGAAAAGGGAUUUGGUAACGAGAGCAAACGUAGAAUUAAACGAAUAUCAUGUGGGAUCUCGAUACGUUAGGUUAUCGGCAGUGGAACGUUCGAAAGACGUUAAACGUUCUUAGCCAAUCAGCUAUUUAUCGAGUUUCAAACCCGCGCCAUCUUCAUUUUUGAACAAAGCCAGGUUGGACGUGCUAGGAGCGAGUCGAGAUCGGGUAGUAGUCCGCUUUCCGCUAUUCGCGCCACAGUCGUCGGCACACGCCACUCUCCGUUCCUGACUGGUUGUUCUCUGUCUCGCCCUUCCCCUCUCUUACUAUUUUCCCCUUCUCGAUCAAACCAACUUUUAAACCCCCACCCCCCAUAGGCUACUACCGCCGCCUCCACCGACGGUACCCCUGCAGCUACCAAUACCGUGAAUCCCUUCCUCUAUUCCUAACUACCCCACCACGGGUUUUCGCCUGACGACGCUGCUCUCUUGGGCAUUUCGCCGGAAACCGACGCCGCGUGAGGACGCACGGACGCAAAACUCCAACGCGAACGCACGACGAUUGUCGCUUCUACGACGACUCUUACUCUUCUCCCGCUUGUCCAUAACCGUGCGCUCUCCUUCUCACUCUCUUUCGCUCGCUCACUCUCUCCCUCCCUUCCUCCUUGUUUCACUUGGUGUUACACUGUCGCGGCAUACACGCUCCUGCUCUGUCGGAGUAACACGUUCGGUAAGGAAGAGGACGACACGCAGGCAUCGGUUUCGACGACGCAGCAUACCACGCACACGCCAUGAGUACCAAGGAAAACAACGAGGUUGCCGUAGAGAAGGUGACGGAGAACGACAAGGCGUCUGCUGACGCUAAGUGUGAGAUCAAGGGAAUCAAGAGGCCAGCCGAGG